rnacentral:rRNA from 1 species
AGCAUAUCAAUAAGCGGAGGAAAAGAAACUAACAAGGAUUCCCCUAGUAACUGCGAGUGAAGCGGGAAAAGCUCAAAUUUAAAAUCUGGCGGUCUUUGGCUGUCCGAGUUGUAAUCUAGAGAAGUGUUAUCCGCGCUGGACCGUGUACAAGUCUCCUGGAAUGGAGCGUCACAGAGGGUGAGAAUCCCGUCUUUGACACGGACUGCCAGGGCUUUGUGAUAUGCUCUCAAAGAGUCGAGUUGUUUGGGAAUGCAGCUCAAAAUGGGUGGUAAAUUCCAUCUAAAGCUAAAUAUUGGCGAGAGACCGAUAGCGAACAAGUACCGUGAGGGAAAGAUGAAAAGAACUUUGGAAAGAGAGUUAAACAGUACGUGAAAUUGCUGAAAGGGAAACGCUUGAAGUCAGUCGCGUUGUCCAGGGAUCAACCUUGCUUUUGCUUGGUGCACUUUCUGGUUGACGGGUCAGCAUCAAUUUUGACUAUUGGAAAAAGAUUAGGGGAAUGUGACAUCUUCGGAUGUGUUAUAGCCCUUGGUUGCAUACAAUGGUUGGGAUUGAGGAACUCAGCACGCCGCAAGGCCGGGUUUUUAACCACGUACGUGCUUAGGAUGCUGGCAUAAUGGCUUUAAUCGACCCGUCUUGAAACACGGACCAAGGAGUCUAACAUGCCUGCGAGUGUUUGGGUGGAAAACCCGAGCGCGUAAUGAAAGUGAAAGUUGAGAUCCCUGUCGUGGGGAGCAUCGACGCCCGGACCAGACCUUUUGUGACGGUUCCGCGGUAGAGCAUGUAUGUUGGGACCCGAAAGAUGGUGAACUAUGCCUGAAUAGGGUGAAGCCAGAGGAAACUCUGGUGGAGGCUCGUAGCGAUUCUGACGUGCAAAUCGAUCGUCAAAUUUGGGUAUAGGGGCGAAAGACUAAUCGAACCAUCUAGUAGCUGGUUCCUGC